rnacentral:rRNA from 1 species
AAUAUUGGACAAUGGGCGAAAGCCUGAUCCAGCAAUGCCGCGUGAGUGAUGAAGGCCUUAGGGUUGUAAAGCUCUUUUACCCGGGAUGAUAAUGACAGUACCGGGAGAAUAAGCCCCGGCUAACUCCGUGCCAGCAGCCGCGGUAAUACGGAGGGGGCUAGCGUUGUUCGGAAUUACUGGGCGUAGAGCGCACGUAGGCGGCUUUGUAAGUUAGAGGUGAAAUCCUGGGGCUCAACUCCAGAACUGCCUUCGAUACUGGAAGACUUGAGUCCGGGAGAGGUGAGUGGAACUGCGAGUGUAGAGGUGAAAUUCGUAGAUAUUCGCAAGAACACCAGUGGCGAAGGCGGCUCACUGGCCCGGUACUGACGCUGAGGUGCGAAAGCGUGGGGAGCAAAC